UAGGGAAUCUUCGGCAAUGGACGAAAGUCUGACCGAGCAACGCCGCGUGAGUGAAGAAGGUUUUCGGAUCGUAAAACUCUGUUGUUAGAGAAGAACAAGGACGUUAGUAACUGAACGUCCCCUGACGGUAUCUAACCAGAAAGCCACGGCUAACUACGUGCCAGCAGCCGCGGUAAUACGUAGGUGGCAAGCGUUGUCCGGAUUUAUUGGGCGUAAAGCGAGCGCAGGCGGUUUCUUAAGUCUGAUGUGAAAGCCCCCGGCUCAACCGGGGAGGGUCAUUGGAAACUGGGAGACUUGAGUGCAGAAGAGGAGAGUGGAAUUCGAUGUGUAGCGGUGAAAUGCGUAGAUAUAUGGAGGAACACCAGUGGCGAAGGCGGCUCUCUGGUCUGUAACUGACGCUGAGGCUCGAAAGCGUGGGGAGCAAACAGG
rnacentral:rRNA from 1 species